rnacentral:snRNA from 1 species
GGGUAUGUGAACUAUGUCUGUGACAUUUGUUACUUUAUUGGUCAGCAGGAUUGGGUCUAUUGAUCUGACUGGGAGGCAGGCAUCGCCGUCCUCUUUCAAAUCUUUCCAUAUAUCUUUCCUCACGCUGUUUGUUUAGUCCAUCAGAGAGGACAGCCUUUCCUGGGGGAGGAGGGCCAGUGAAGAACAGAAAGGUAGCUGUGCUUCUUUGCUUGAGCCUCCAAACAAACUCUGAAGGCACAUCUCAGGGAACAUCCAUGUUUUCCUCUACCUCUUGCUACUGAUGUCCCCACUGGGGACCACUUAC